GGAGUUCUCCUUGAAAGGAUAAGUGGGUUUUACACACCUAGUGGAAGGGAAUUGGUCAUUGUGAUUACUAUGGCUACUUCGACUACUGGGGACAAGGGACCCUGGUCACGGUCACAUCAGCGUCCCCAGCUGCCCCGUCUCUUUUCCCGCUCUACUCUUCCUGCGGGACCGACACGAGCCAAGAUCCUGUCGCACUGGGCUGCUUGGCUAUGGACUUCCUUCCGGACUCAAUCGCUUUCUCCUGGAGUGAUAAAGAAAACACCAGCAUCACCAGUGACAUCACGAAAUUCCCCUCGGUCCUGACUUCAGCUGGGACCUACACUGCCACCACUCAGCUAUCGGUCCCUGCCUCCAAAUCGCAGGAGAUUUUCUAUUGCUCAGCCGAACACCCAAAUGGGAAUAAGAGAAUCCAAGUACCUGACAAAGUACCCUGUUCUCUUGAACCCAGUAUGACCAUCCGUCCCCCAGCCAGAAGCCAAUUCCAAGAGCCCUAUAAAAAUUCCACCAUCAUCUGCCGCGUUACAAAUCUCUGCAGCCAGACUGCUACCUUCACAUGGCUGAAGGAUGGGGCACCGGUCACCUCUGGAGUCACCACUCAUAGCCCUGUCUCCAGCGGCCCCACUGGUUAUACCCACAUCAGCCAGCUGUCUAUAAUGGAGAAAGAUUGGGAUGCCGACCGCAAAUAUAGCUGCAAGGUGGAGAGCACGAAUUUCAGCGAGAUGAUUAACACUAGCAAGUCUUUCGAGUGUGGAGCUAUUGACUGUCUCUCUGACAUCGAAGUCAAGGUGAUCCCGCCUACUUUCGCUGAUAUUUACAUCCGCAAAUCGGCCAUACUGACCUGCAGGGUCAUUAACAUGCAAUCCACGGAGGGGCUCAACGUGACCUGGAGGAGAGAGGAUGGCAAGGAGCUGAAGACCAGCCUCGGAGAACGUAAGAUGCAGAGCAGUGGCCGUUUCAGCGUGGAUGCCACAGCCUCUGUGUGCGCAGACGAGUGGGAGAGAGGAGACUCGUACACCUGCAAAGUGGAUCAUCCAGACCUCAUCUUCCCCAUUGAAAAGACUUUGACCAAACAGCCUGUAACCGACAGCCACGCUCCAUCCAUCUACAUCUUCCCUCCUCCCUCUGAGCAGCUGGCCCUCCGCGAAGCUGCCACCGUCACCUGCCUGGUGAAAGGUUUCAACCCCCCUGACCUCUUCAUCAAGUGGCUGAGCAACGGCGAGGAGCUGAACGCCUCCAAGUACAUCAACACCGAGCCCAUCCAGGAGUCCAGCCAGCCACCACUGUACUUCGCCUACAGCACCCUGAACAUCAAUGAGCAGGAGUGGAACGCCGGCAACACCUACACCUGCUUAGUCGGACAUGAGAAGCUGCCCCUGCAGGUGACCCAGAGGACCGUGGACAAGUCCACCGUUUAUCUAGAUGGGUUCGUGGAUGCUGAAGAGGAAGACUUCUACAACCUCUGGACAACAGCUUCCACUUUUAUCAUCCUCUUCCUCCUGAGUCUUUUCUACAGCACCACAGUGACACUUAUCAAGGUGAAAUAAACCCAACAGCCCAAGAUCGUUCCAACCAAAGGAGCCCACAGAAAGCGAUUUUCCUGAAGAACAGUUCCAAACUUUGCUCCACACUGUGUCCUGCGCAAUUGUUGUGUUCACCUGCCUGUGGAAUGUUCUCAGACAUCAUCUGAAUGUAACUGGACUUUCUGUCUAUUGUUUAUGCUCUUUUAUCUCCAUUUUUAAUGCACGUUUGGGCAGUUUUUUAUUUCUUUCUGUCCUGGUAAUCUCUGCUUUAUGCAAAAUGCAAUCUCUGCUGGCAUAAGAAGUUGCACGUUAAUGGAUAUACGUAAUCGAAUUGCACAACUUGUCAUUUUCCCGGACAUUUGUAUUUUUCACCCUGUACAUAUUUUUCAUGUUGAAAUAAAGAAAUUUAUUAUGUUGACA